rnacentral:rRNA from 1 species
UUUUGCAUAUCCCAAAAAGCGGAGGAAAAGAAACCAACAGGGAUUGCCUCAGUAACGGCGAGUGAAGCGGCAACAGCUCAAAUUUGAAAUCUGGCCUCUUCGGGGCCCGAGUUGUAAUUUGUAGAGGAUGUUUCGGGUACCGCCUCGGUUUAAAUUUCUUGGAACAGAAUGUCAUAGAGGGUGAGAAUCCCGUCUUGGACCGGCGGUAGGGCCCAUGUGAAACUCCUUCGACGAGUCGAGUUGUUUGGGAAUGCAGCUCAAAAUGGGUGGUAAAUUUCAUCUAAAGCUAAAUAUUGGCCAGAGACCGAUAGCGCACAAGUAGAGUGAUCGAAAGAUGAAAAGAACUUUGAAAAGAGAGUUAAACAGUAUGUGAAAUUGUUGAAAGGGAAGCGCUGGCAACCAGACUUGAGCGCGGCGGUUCCCCCUUCCUUUUGGUUGGGUUACUCCGCCGUGUCCAGGCCAACAUCGGUUCUGGGGGUCGGUCAAAGGCCCGGGGAAUGUAUCUACUCCUUCGGGGGUAGACUUAUAGCCCCGGGUGUCAUGCGACCACCCGGGACCGAGGAACGCGCUUCGGCUCGGAUGUUGGCGUAAUGGUUGUCAGCGACCCGUCUUGAACCACCCGGACCAAA